rnacentral:rRNA from 1 species
GAUGAACGCUGGCGGCGUGCCUAAUACAUGCAAGUCGAGCGAACAGACGAGGAGCUUGCUCCUCUGACGUUAGCGGCGGACGGGUGAGUAACACGUGGAUAACCUACCUAUAAGACUGGGAUAACUUCGGGAAACCGGAGCUAAUACCGGAUAAUAUAUUGAACCGCAUGGUUCAAUAGUGAAAGACGGUUUUGCUGUCACUUAUAGAUGGAUCCGCGCCGCAUUAGCUAGUUGGUAAGGUAACGGCUUACCAAGGGAACGAUGCGUAGCCGACCUGAGAGGGUGAUCGCCCACACUGGAACUUGACCACGCUCCAGACUCCUACGGGAGGCAGCAGUAGGGAACCUUACGCAAUGGGCGAAAGCCUGACGGAGCAACGCCGCGUGAGUGAUGAAGGUCUUCCGAUCGUAAAACUCUGUUAUUAGGGAAGAACAAAUGUGUAAGUAACUAUGCACGUCUUGACGGUACCUAAUCAGAAAGCCACGGCUAACUACGUG